UACAGAGGGGGGCAAGCGUUAUUCGGAAUUAUUGGGCGUAAAGGGCGCGUAGGCGGCCUGGCAAGUGGAAGGUGAAAAUCCCUCGGCUUAACCGAGGAACUGCCCUCCAAACUGCUUGGCUUGAGUCCGGGAGAGGUGAGUGGAAUUCCCAGUGUAGCGGUGAAAUGCGUAGAUAUUGGGAGGAACACCAGUGGCGAAGGCGGCUCACUGGACCGGAACUGACGCUGAGGCGCGAAAGCGUGGGGAGCAAACGGG
rnacentral:rRNA from 1 species